rnacentral:rRNA from 1 species
UACGUAGGGUGCGAGCGUUAAUCGGAAUUACUGGGCGUAAAGCGUGCGCAGGCGGUUUUGUAAGCCAGAUGUGAAAUCCCCGGGCUUAACCUGGGAAUUGCGAUGGAGACUGCAAGGCUAGAAUCUGGCAGAGGGGGGUAGAAUUCCACGUGUAGCAGUGAAAUGCGUAGAGAUGUGGAGGAACACCGAUGGCGAAGGCAGCCCCCCUGGGUCAAGAUUGACGCUCAUGCACGAAAGCGUGGGGAGCAAACAGG